rnacentral:lncRNA from 1 species
UCCAUUAACUACCAAGCAACGGAGUUGCUAGGAGUAUUGAUUUCACACAUCACGGUUCACUUGUCGGCAUUCCGGUCACAACAACACAGAGACCGAGUGUAACGCCCUCGAUGCGGCUAUAUCUCCCACGUGUCGAAGAAUGACUUAGAAGCAUAACUGCAUUGAAAGCAAUGUCGCAAGUGAGGUAAUCUUCACACAACCCAUGUAAUACAUAAGGGACAGAGAUACAUAGUUGGCUUACAAUCGCCACUUCACACAAUUACAUGAAUAAAGCAUUACAUCAAUCAGAUACAAUCAAGGUCCGACUACGGAACCAAAAUAAAACAAGACUACCCCAAAAGCUACACAGAUCCCCGAUCAUCCCGACUGGGCUCCACUACUGAUCAACUAGAACGAAACAACACAAAGGACAAGAUCUUCAUCGAGCUCCUCCUUGAGCUUGGUUGCGUCACCUGCUCGGUAACAUCAGCACCUGCAAACUGGUUUUGGAAGUAACUGUGAGUCACGGGGACUCAGCAAUCUCACACCCUCGUGAUCAGGACUAUUUAAGCUUAUGGGUAAGGUAAAAGGUAUGAGGUGGAGCUGCAGCAAGCGACUAGCAUAUAUGGUGGCUAAACAUACGCAAAUGAGAGCGAAAAGAGAAGGCAAGGCACGGUCGAUAAAACUAUGAUCAAGAAGUGAUCCUAGAACAACCUACAUCAAGCAUCACUCCAACACCGUGUUCACUUCCCGGGCUCCGCCGAGAAGAGACCAUCACGGUUACACACGCGGUUGAUGUGUUUUAAUUAAGGUCAACUACAGGUUUUCUACAACCGGACGUUAACAAAUUCCGAUAUGCCCAUAACCACGGGCACGGCUUUCAAAAGUUCAAAUCCCUGCAGGGGUCUCCCAACUUAGCCCAUCACAAGCUCUCACGGUCAACAAAGAAUAUUCCUUCUAGCGGGAAGACCCGAUCAGACUCGGAAUCCUGGUUACAAGACAUUUCGACAGUGGUAAAACAAGACCAGCAAAGCCACCCGAAUGUGCCGACAAAUCCCGAUAGGAGCUGCACAUAUCUCGUUCUCAGGGCACACCGGAUUGUCCAAACUUCCGGUAGGCCAGCCCAGAGUUGCCCCUGGUGGCCACCGGUGGCUGACAAGUUGGACCAACACUCAGAGGAGCACUGGCCCGGGGGGAUUAAAAUAAUGAUGACCCUUGGGCAGGCCUAUCCAAGGGAAAGGAAAAGGCCAGGUGGCGAAUGGUGAAACCAAUGUUGGGCCUUGCUGGAAGAGUUUUAUUCAAUGCGAACUGUCAAGGGGUUCCCAUUAUAACCCAACCGCAUAAGGAACGCAAAAUCCGAGAACAUAACACCGAUAUGACGGAAACUAGGGCGGCAAGAGUGGAACAAAACACCAGGCAUAAGGCCGAGCCUUCCACCCUUUAGAAGUAUAUAGAUGCAUUAAUUAAAUAAGAGAUAUUGUGAUAUCCCAACAAAACAUCCAUGUUCCAACAUGGAACAAACUCCAAUCUUCACCUGCAACUAACAACGCUAUAAGAGGGGCUGAGCAAAGCGGUACCAUAGCCAAACAACGGUUUGGUAGGACAAGGUGGGUUAGAGGCUUGGUUCAAUAAUAUGGGAGGCAUGAUAAGCAAGUGGUACGUAUCGCAGCAUAGGCCUAGCAAAAGAGAGAGCAACUACCAAGCAAAGAUAGAAGUGAUUUCGAGGGUAUGGUCAUCUUGCCUGAAAUCCCGCAAGGAAGAAGAACGAGUCCAUGAAGAAGACAAACGGACGUAGUCGAACGGGUCCUCACAAGCGCGACGUUAUCGGAAACAACCCGAAGAAGCAACACCGGAAAGAAGCAAACAACAUAGUAAACAACCAACACAUAAUCAUGGCAUGAUGCACAAUCAAGUAUGAUGCAUGUCCGGUUUAAUGAAGCAUGGCAUGGCAAAGUGCACAAGCAACUCUACAAAUUAAGUGGAGCACAAUAUGCAACGGAGUUGCAUAUUGAAGAAAACACCA